AUCCCUUCGCAGUGGCAGUAUCGCAGUCAUGAGGUCAAUCCGAGGCGUGAUUAUUGCUAGCUGAAAACUUUAACUCAAUUCCCGCCUUGGACGACCUGAACAGCAGUCGGGCAAUGGCACUUUAUUGGUCUCUAUGGAGA